rnacentral:rRNA from 1 species
GACGAACCGUGCGAACGUUGUUCGGAAUCACUGGGCUUAAAGGGCGCGUAGGCGGAUGACCAAGUCCAAGGUGAAAUCCUGCGGCUUAACCGUAGAAGAGCCCUGGAUACUGGUUGUCUCGAGGGAGGUAGGGGCAUGUGGAAUUUCCGGUGUAGCGGUGAAAUGCGUAGAUAUCGGAAGGAACAUCAGUGGCGAAAGCGACUUCCUGGACCAAUACUGACGCUCAUGUGCGAAAGCGUGGGGAGCAAACAGG